GACGAACGCUGGCGGCGUGCUUAACACAUGCAAGUCGAACGAAGUGGCGAACGGGUGAGUAACGCGUAAUCAACCUGCCCUUCAGAGGGGGAAAACAGUUGGAAACGAAUGAUAAUACCGCAUAAUGAAGGAGGGGAAUACGUCUGAUUAGCUAGGUGGAGGGGUAACGGCACAACAAGGCGAUGAUCAGUAGCCGGUCUGAGAGGAUGAACGGCCACAAUGGGACUGAGGCACGGCCCAGACUCCUACGGGAGGCAGCAGUGGGGAAUCUUCCGCAAUGGACGAAAGUCUGACGGAGCAACGCCGCGUGAGUGAUGACGGCCUUCGGGUUGUAAAGCUCUGUUAAUCGGGACGCGGUACCGGAAUAGAAAGCCACGGCUAACUACGUGCCAGCCGCCGCGGUAAUAC
rnacentral:rRNA from 1 species